rnacentral:rRNA from 1 species
CAGCAGCCACGGGAAUACGGAGGGUGCAAGCGUUAAUCGGAAUUACUGGGCGUAAAGCGUGCGUAGGCGGUUCGUUAAGACAGAUGUGAAAUCCCCGGGCUUAACCUAGGAACUGCAUUUGGAACUGGCAGGCUAGAGUCUUGUAGAGGGGGGUAGAAUUCCAGGUGUAGCGGUGAAAUGCGUAGAGAUCUGGAGGAAUACCGGUGGCGAAGGCGGCCCCCUGGACAAAGACUGACGCUCAGGUGCGAAAGCGUGGGGAGCAAACAGGAUUAGAUACCCCGGUAGUCCCUGUCUCUUAUAU